UUCUUAUCAAGAGCAGGCGGAGGGACUAGCCCGAUGAAGCCCGGCAACCGACUCAUGAGCACGGUGCUAAAUCUUGCAACAGAAAUGUUGAGUGAUGAGAA
rnacentral:ncRNA from 1 species